rnacentral:rRNA from 1 species
GACGAACGCUGGCGGCGUGCCUAAUACAUGCAAGUCGAACGCAGUGGGGACGGGUGAGUAACACGUGGGUAACCUCCCAUCAGAGGGGAUAAAACUUGGAAACAGGUGCUAAACCGAUAUUGAAGGAUGGACCGGCGGUGCAUUAGCUAGUUGGUGAGGGAACGGCUUACCAAGGCCACGAUGCAUAGGCGACCUGAGAGGGUGAUCGGCCACACGGGGACGGAGACACGGCCCAGACUCCUACGGGAGGCAGUAGUAGGGAAUCUUCGGCAAUGGACGAAAGUCUGACCGAGCAACGCCGCGUGAGUUAAGAAGGUUUUCGGAUCGUAAAACUCUGUUGUUAGAGAAGCGGUAUCUAACCAGAAAGCCACGGCUAACUACGUGCCAGCAGCCGCGGUAAUUC